AGAUAGAGGAGUGCUCGAAAGAGAACCUGCACACAGGUGCUGCAUGGCUGUCGUCAGCUCGUGUCGUGAGAUGUUGGGUUAAGUCCCGCAACGAGCGCAACCCUUGCCAUCAGUUGCUACGAAAGGGCACUCUGAUGGGACUGCCGGUGACAAACCGGAGGAAGGUGGGGAUGACGUCAAGUCCUCAUGGCCCUUAUAGGUGGGGCUACACACGUCAUACAAUGGCCGGUACAAAGGGCAGCAAACCCGCGAGGGGGAGCCAAUCCAUCAAAGCCGGUCGUAGUCCGGAUCGCAGUCUGCAACUUGACUGCGUGAAGUCGGAAUCGCUAGUAAUCGUGGAUCAGCAUGUCACGGUGAAUACGUUCCCGGGUCUU
rnacentral:rRNA from 1 species